GGCCAGAAGACUGUGAUGUGGUAUUUUCCAAGCACAUAUCUGACUGGUCUGUGUGGAAAUCAACUAUUACUGAGUUUUCUGGAC
ensembl:snoRNA small nucleolar RNA, C/D box 121A